UUUUUGUGAAACCACGUGUGCAUGUAAAGUGCUGAACGUUUUGCCUGGAAUAUGGUAAGGACAUAACAAUACCUUUUAUUUACCAUCACUGCUUUCACUUGUGGUACCAUGGGAUCAUAAAAAGAAUUAAUUUAAUAUUCAAUGGAAAGAUCCAAACACUUCUCUGCUGAUAUGUCUUAACUGUUUAUGGACCGAGCCUAGGAAACUAACUCUAAGUGUGCCCUCUUGUCCAUGUUGGCUGGUGGGUUUUAGCAGAAGAAUCAGGUUGGCAGUGUGGACAGCCCAACAUUGCUUGAAAGAGGUCAGCUUGGAAUUUAGUAAGAUUGUAAAGUCUCUAUUUUAGCCAAAGACAUAGAAAAUUUUAUGUGAGCUCAGAGAUGCUUCAAAGUAAAUGAGAGUGUCUUGGUGUGCAUAUACUACACAUAUUUGGUUUUCAUCUCAGGGAAAAAAGCAUAAAUAAGAUGAAAUUGUUGAAUUUAGUAACCUACAAAAGUCUUUCCUGCAUUGGUCUACUGAGUAGGAAGUUAGACAGUCUAAUUGUAGCACAGAUAAAAUAAAAUUCAUAAUCAAAUGUGACUCUCCAUCUGCUCAGAAUUUCCCACUUAAUGUUUUAUGUGAAUUGUUAAAAUUCUAUUUUCAGUUGAUUUGUGACAAGGGCUUUUGCAGCUAGCCAUCAAGACCAAGACCUUAGACAUUUGUACCACCAGAUGGAGGAUAUGUUUGCUAUUCUCCCUGGAUUUCAGAGAAAGAUUUCAGGGCUUAUUUCCCAAGAUAAAUGUGUUAUCAAUACACAGCCACUUUCAUCGAGAACGUCCUUGUACACCUAAAACACUUCAAAAGGGACUCAAAGGCAAAAUAGUAGCAUAAAUGAUACACGCUGGGCCCUCUGUUGCAUAUUUCGUCUAAUUUUAACAACCAUUUUAUAAGUAUUAUCUCCAUUUAACAUAAGAGAAAACCAAGACCUUGAUACACUAGAUCAAUAGUUUCCAAAAUCUUGACUACGUGCUAUUUUAUUAUGUGAUCGUUGAUAAAUGACAAAGAACAUUUACCAAAGAUGUAAAAUAUAAAGCAUAAUGGAAAGCACAAUAAAAAUGAGCACUCUUGAAGGUACAAGUGUGAGCAACAGAACUAGAAACUUAUCACAGUCAUCAAAUUUAUGACUCCACUGCUCUGUCCCUCUGCUUCCAGUUAGAGUUAACGACAAUCCCAAACUUUGAUUCAUUCUUAUAGCUAAAUGUGUUGCUUCGUUCGUUUGUUUUUCAGAACUGCACCCGUGGCAUCUAUAAGUUCCCAGGCUAGGGGUGGAAUCAGAGCUGCAGCUGACGGCUUACACCACAGCCACAGCAAUGCAGGAACCAAGUCAUGUCUGCGACCUACACAACAGCUCAUGGCAACGCCGGAUCCCUGACUCACUGAGCAAAGCCAGGGAUUGAACCCACAUCUUCGUGGAUACUGGUCGGAUUCGUUUCUGCUGCUCCACCACAGGAACUCCAAUUGUAGCUAUUUUAAAAAAAUGGGUCUAGACACGAGUUUAUUUAGAGCAUUCUUUUGGUUUGUGUAAACGAGCAGCAAGGUCUGGGCAGUCGUGGACUUAACAUAAACACUGUGGUCUUCCCUUGUGGCCUACAGCGUAAUUACUUUGCCUUGUCUCUGUAAACACUAUAACAAUAAUUCUUGGACUUGGUGCUUUCCACUCAGAAGUCAUCCGCUGGUUUUGUGGUUUCAAUUUAAGUUCAAGGCAAUUCCUUAUUUCACACUGAUUUGAUCAGAAAACUCAAUUUACUGUUACAUUUUAAAAUAUUUUCUUAAAACCAUCCCAAAUUGGAGAUUGAUCAGAAAUAGCAUCAAAUAUGCUUUCUCAUAAUUCUUUUUAACCACUUUACUCUGUUGUCAGUAGAAUGUUGAAAAUGUAGUAAACCAAAACAAUUCUUUUCUGCUGUCUAUAGACUCAGAACCAGCAGAUCACAGAAAUAUCUCAGCUUUUUUCUUUCGUUAUUCCAUCACGACUAUGUUUAUUUUUAAAUUCAUUUAAGAAAACAUUUAUAAAACAAUUGGAACCCUGGAGAUAAUGGAGUCCUAAAGGAAUUUAUGCACACGCUGUGGUCAUCUGUCAUUCUGGAGCGUGACCUGUGGGUGACAGACACCUUCCUUGUGGAGAAGGGGAGUAGUGAGCAAAUAACUCAGGAAAGUGAGGGAUUGAGCCACGUAUACAUCUAGUGGAAGAGAAUUCCAGGCAGAAUAAACUUUCCUAACCUGGAAGCAUGCCUGCUUGUAUGUUUAAGGAAGAGUGAGGAGCCCCAUGGGGCUGGAGUGAGUGAACAAGGAGAAAACACUGUCCUAAGGGUUGUCAGAGGAGAAAUAAAGAGCCACAGCGUGUAAAACCCAGUGACACGUCUAAAGAUUUGGACAUCAACUCUGAAUGAGAGGGGAGCAAAUGGUGGAUUUACAUAGAGGCAAGUCCUUGUCUGACAUAUUUUGAAAGCACCUCAUUGGAAAGUGUGUCAAGAGUAGACAAAGGAGUUCCUGCUGUGGUGCAGUGGGUUAAGAUUCUAACUGCAGUGAGUAGGGUCCCUGUGGAGGUGCAGGCUCAAACCCUGGCCCGGAGCAGUGGGUUAAAGGAUCUGCUGUUGCUGCAGCUGUUGCAUAGGUCACAGCUGUGGCUCAGAUUCCAUCCCUGGCUUGGGAACUUC
rnacentral:lncRNA from 1 species